AUAGAAGCGAGAUUAAAUUGAAACUUAAUACUCGAAUAUUUUGAUUGAUUUUUUAACGGGAAUGGAGAAUUUUUUUGCGAAGCUGAGAGAAAUCUUUCUCCGGAAUGUCGAGGUGGAUUUAUAAGCAUGCGAAUAAACUCUUUUUAAUAUGCAGCACUAACCUGUUGAAUGCAUUGUGUUCGUGACAAGCAGUGAUUACAUUUGUUCUCCCGAGUUAGAUACAUUUUUUAUCAUUUCAACGAUCGUGUUACCGAUGAUAACCGCGUUAACCGCUGCUCGGUAUCGUUGUAGAUCAAGGUUGUUUUAAUAUAUUACUUUCUGGUCUCGCGGUUAACUCGAUGAAAACGAACCAAAAGAACAAUGAACAGGGAAACCAGGAAACUUUUUACGUAACAAACAAAUGUCUAUCCUUUUCAAUCCUUCAAAGUUCUUCGAUUCUUCAACAAUCCUGUUUAUUCUGAUCCCUUAGAUAAGAAUAUCUAUUUAUCAAACGAUAAAAAAAAAGGGAGAAGAGGAGAAAGAAAAAGGAGAGGUAUUACAAGUAAUGAAAAAGGUGGAAGUACAAGGAGGACCUCUCGAUAUCUCUUGUAUAGAAGAGAAAAGGGAGGAAAGACGAGGGAAAACUAAAAAGUAUGGUAACGGAGACGACUUUUGAUAUUUCCUGGCGUUACCAUUAGCCAAGCACGGGCCUCGAGCAGGGCGAGGG